rnacentral:rRNA from 1 species
GAUGAACGCUGGCGGCGUGCCUAAUACAUGCAAGUCGAGCGAACAGACGAGGAGCUUGCUCCUCUGACGUUAGCGGCGGACGGGGGAGUAACACGUGGAUAACCUACCUAUAAGACUGGGAUAACUUCGGGAAACCGGAGCUAAUACCGGAUAAUAUAUUGAACCGCAUGGUUCAAUAGUGAAAGGCGGUUUUGCUGUCACUUAUAGAUGGAUCCGCGCCGCAUUAGCUAGUUGGUAAGGUGACGGCUUACCAAGGCAACGAUGCGUAGCCGACCUGAGAGGGUGAUCGGCCACGCUGGAACUGAGACACGGUCCAGACUCCUACGGGAGGCAGCAGUAGGGGAUCUGCCGAAAAGGGCGAAGGCUUGACGGAGCAACGCCGCGUGAGUGAUGAAGGUCUUCGGAUCGUAAAACUCUGUUAUUAGGGAAGAACAAAUGUGUAAGUAACUAUGAGCGUCUUGACGGUACCUAAUCAGAAAGCCACGGCUAACUACGUG